GCCGAGGCACCUCCCGACCCCCGGGGCUGGGCGGUGCUGAGGGCGGGCGGAGGCGGAGGCGGGGGCGGGGGCGGC
rnacentral:miRNA from 12 species